AGCUACUAUACCCUCUCCAUUUCCAACAACCACCUCUUCCUGUCGUCUCCCGCCCUCUCCUUCUACACAUCGAACUACUAGCAACAAAAUCAACAAAUUCCCACUUCACAGGUUCGGAUUUGAAAACGUGGGGUGUUUGGAUUUGUAAACAUAGGCUUCUAUUGGAAACUAGGGUUCCGAUUUGAAAAGGAUUUUGCUAUCAUCAACCGAUUCAUCCUUCACAUCUCCAUCCCUCUGCUAUAUCAAAGUGUAUCCAUUGACGUGCUCGGAGAAGAGAAAUAUGUUUUUCAACCUCGCUUGUUCGGAAAGAAAGGCAUGCAUUUUUUGGUAUGCCCGGUUCAUAUAAAGACAUUAAUGUGUUAGAGAGAUCUUUUGUUUUCACGGAACUUGCACAAGGGCGUGCUCCACCAGUCAAUUACAAAGUCAACGGCCACGACUAUACUAUGGGGUAUUAGCUUGCAGAUGGUAUUUAUCCUAAGUGGCAAACUUUUGUAAAAACGAUUCCAUCACCAAGAGGGAACAAGAAUAAACAUUUUGCAAAAGCACAAGAAUCUGCAAGAAAAGAUGUCGAGCGAGCAUUUGGUGUACUUCAACAACGAUUUGCAAUCAUUCGAGGACCUUCAUGAAUAUUCAAAUUGAAGGUACUAACAAAUAUAAUGAAAGCAUGUGUUAUUCUUCAUAACAUAACAUGAUCAUUGAAGACGAACGUGAUGAUGGUGAUAGUCUUAACAUUGGGUAUGAUCAACUUGACGAUGAUCUCCUUGAAUUGUCGGACACUCAAACAAAUGAGUUUAUGGACGUCAUCCAACGUCGUCUUCAUAUUAAAGAUAGCUCGGCACAUCAUCAGCUUCAAGAAGACCUAAUUGAACAUCAAUGGCUACUCUAUUCCCAACAAUAAACAUAAACGAUGUUGCGCUAUAUUAGAUUGUUUUGUAGCUUUGUCUAAGCUCCUACUUAUGCGUUUUUGGUGUUACGUGUAAAUCCAUUGUGUAGGCUGUUAAAUAGGUCAAACUUGGCAUGAUUUGGUAUUGAUCUUAAACUGUUGUUUGUAGUCUGAUGGUAGUGAAAAUGGAUGGUAUGAUAUUUGAUAUUGAUCUUA